rnacentral:rRNA from 1 species
CCUACGGGUGGCAGCAGUGGGGAAUAUUGCGCAAUGGGCGCAAGCCUGAUGCAGCCACGCCGCGUGAGUGAUGAAGGCCUUCGGGUUGUAAAGCUCUGUCGGUAGGGAAGAAGGGUUAUUGUUGUAUACACUAGUGAAUUGACGUUAGCUGCAAAGGAAGCACCGGCUAACUCCGUGCCAGCAGCCGCGGUAAUACGGGGGGUGCGAGCGUUAAUCGGAAUUACUGGGCGUAAAGGGCACGUAGGCGGUAUGUUAAGUGAGGGGUGAAAGCCCCGGGCUCAACCGGGGAAUUGCCUUUGAUACUGGCAAACUGGAGUGUGGUAGAGGUAGGUGGAAUUCCAGGUGUAGCGGUGAAAUGCGUAGAUAUCUGGAGGAACACCGAUGGCGAAGGCAGCCAACUGACAUGUAACUGACGCUGAUGAGCGAAAGCGUGGGUAGCAAACAGGAUUAGAUACCCGUGUAGUC